rnacentral:rRNA from 1 species
UACAGAGGUCCCAAGCGUUGUUCGGAUUCACUGGGCGUAAAGGGUGCGUAGGUGGCGGGGUAAGUUUGAUGUGAAAUCUCCGAGCUUAACUCGGAAAUGGCAUUGAAUACUAUUCAGCUCGAGGUUUGGAGGGGGGACUGGAAUUCUCGGUGUAGCAGUGAAAUGCGUAGAUAUCGAGAGGAACACCAACGGCGAAGGCAGCACUCUGGGCCGGUACUGACGCUGAGGGAGCGAAAGCGUGGGGAGCAAACAGG